UUGGAUGCAAUGGCUACCUUGG
rnacentral:siRNA from 1 species